UAGAAGUAUACUGUUUUCAUAUUAGAUAUGUCUACACAGUUCUUUCAAAGUAAAAGACCUAACUUUAGAGUCAAAGCUUUAAUUCUGAGUUAUACUAUAUUAUAGCAAGUCGGAGUAAGCCCUCAUUGGCAGUGCUCAGAAAAACGAAAGGGCAAACAAGUCUUAUAAUUAUGCAAAGCAUUGCAGCUCUCUUUCCUCUCCGAUGGAUGCUGCAGCAGCAGCAAGCUGGGGGAAAAGCAUUUGGGUCCCUGGGAGUUCAUGAACUCAUCUCAACAUGCUACAAGAGAACGAUGUGCCCUUGAGCAAGACACGAACUUUAAUUACACUCCUCGGUUUGAGAUAGAGCAAUGUUUUUGCUUCGAGCGCACCUUUUUCCAGGUCUGUGAUGCGGUGGUGCAGAGAAGUGAGCGUGGACUCCACACGGUUCCUUUGCUCGCUGUCAUUCCUCGAGCCACUUUUGGCUUCCUCUAACGUGUUGACCCGAGACAAAACCUGCUUCUCCAUGUCAUCUAUCUUGUUUUGAAGCAGAUCCUUCAGACUGUUCGCCUGCACGGUGUUAUUCCCUCGGCUGUAUUGCUGUAGUGUACGGAGGAAGAAAAAGAGGAAUGGAUAGAGAUGGAAAUAUUUAUUUGUAAAAUUAGUUGCCUCGGCAUUAUAGUUCAUUGACUACCUGGUAAGGUAUAUUUCAUUAUCAAUUGUGAAAAAGCUUUAUGGGUGUUUUACUCUUUAUAGAGCAAGUAACUAAAUGUUUUAGUAAAACAUAUCACCUUACAUAUACGCGAACAUCCCAUUUGGGUCAUGUAGGUCACAAUAACAACAUGACCCAAAAUGUGUUGUCAUGGUAUUAUUUUUUAAUUCUUUUUUUAAAUUUUUUAUUUUUAUUUUUUUUUAACAUAUAUAACAUUUUAUGAAUAAAAUUGGAAAAAUAAUUAAAUGUUAAUACAAUGAGAAUUUAAAUGAAUAAAAAGAAAUACUGUAUACUCUGGAUAUGGUACCCAAUCACACUCUGAAGUCCCCCCAUAGUAUUUAAAUUAGUGCCAUAUAAAGGGUUAACUGGAUUAAUUAUAGCCGUAAUGUAAGGUUAUAUACUCAGUAUGAAGUUAUUUGUAGUUUGCUAAGGCGUUGUGUGGCAAUAUCUCUAGUCAAACCCUAUUAUUUUCAUCGCUGUUUGAUAGUCUUCCAUCAUGUUGCUGGUGUGCCUAAUGAAUUGCCAUGCUUGCUCUAAAAAAAUAAGAUUUAAUUUGUUGUGAGCCUCAGCUGACCAACAGUACAAAGAGCUGAAAGAGUGAAGCAUGCAAAGGUGUACCGCAACUCGCCUACCUCAAGGUUCUCCAGUCUUUGUUUGAGAGUCUGUAAAGUGUGUCCCAGCUGCGCUAGAGUCUCUGCGGUACCCCGUGAAAUGUCCCCCAUGGUGUUCUUGGCGCCCGGCCGCCUCCCGCCGGGUCCCGCCGCGGCCGGGAUGCUCUGACUCUCGCAGCGACUCAACUUGGAGGUUAGUUCCCUGAUUGUCUCCUUCUGGUUCAUAAUGGUCUCUUUUUGCUGCAGCACCGUCUCCCGCAGAUGCAUCACGGUCGUCUUCAAGUCCUCCGCCGGCCCGCUGUUCUGCAUGGUUGCCGCGCACAAGUCCAUAUCCUUGGGCACCGACGUGCAAAUAAACUGCGUCUGUCCCAAGUCUUGCGCGGAGCUCUCCGCGGUGGCCAAGCAACAAAGGAGAAAAAGUUUCCACGAGAGUCCGUCCAUGAUUCCACUCGUGUUGCUCUCGUCAAGUGAGAAUGGAGCUGAAGUGUUCAGCACCACGGAGCUGUUCACUGAAGCUUGGAGCUGCAGCAAGCCCCGCGCGUUUAUAUAGCGCGCUUGACGCAGCCCCCCAUUCACCGCAGCUCUAGGAGGCAAGCGGAGUCCGGCCCAUUCUUUAAGGUCGUGCACGCUGCAUGGAACAGUCGCCCACGCGGUUUUUCUCUUGCCACAGACGUCACGCCAUGCAGCGAAGCAGCUGCACUGACGUCAGCAGAGCAACCAGCAGCAAGAGAUGAAGAGGUACUCCUGAAGUACGUGUCCAGCAGAGACAUUGCUCAUCAUUGACAUCAUUGAGAGCUCACGUGAUGAUGAGGAGAAGGAGAAUGGCUGGACACAUACUCCUCCAAGAGAAAGACCGGCAAGUGUGGCUAUUGGACUUGGUGCUAGAAGAGGGGAGGAGGAAGAGAGGACGGCCAAAGAUGACAUGGUGAAAUAAAGCCAAGGAAGACCUAAGAGAGAUAGGAGUCAGUUGGCAUGGAGCAAGGAGGGUAACCAGUGACUGGAGCAAACGGAAGGGACUCGUCUCCCAAUGUUCCAGAAGGAACGGGAGAAACUAAGUCUAAGUAAGUAUUGUUCAAAAAC